AGGACGGGGGAUACAUUGGACUCUAUCCUGGCGGAUGCUCAGUUCAAAGUGAUUGCCCAGCGGAUGAAAGGUGUAUGCAUUCUGUAGAAGAAACAAUAUGUCCUCUUGAUCAUCAAAAUUUAUGUCGAUGCACUUUAGGUUGUGAGAUUGAUAAUCUG